UUUCGUUAAUUUUCUUCCCUUGCCCCAAAGGAAUGGAUGAAACCCUCCUUUAUAGGCAUAUUUUGGAGUGUACAAGCUUCUCAAAAGGCUCUAAAUUGGACUCAAACUUGAAAUUCAAAUUGUUGAUGGGACAAUCCAGAGCUUAAACAGAUACGGUGAGGGGGGGAAAGAUUACCUCUUUCAAAUUGAUUUAAAGUAGAAAAUCGGGUGGAAAAACCUUAUCCUCCUAGGGUGUAGAUUUUCUCCUCUCCACCAAGCUAACAGUGGAGAGGAUGAGACUUCUGCGACCUGAAGAGUCAAAUAAAAUAGGAGAAGGGCGAGAUUUAUGCUGACAACCCCAUUUCCCGCUGAACCAUUUUGAAAAUUCAAUAAAUUUGAGGUGAGGGGGAUGGCUGCACAGGGGAGUGGUUGGAGUUUGUCGUAGGGGCUGUGUAGUGGUGUUGAAGAUGAAGAUGAUAAAAUGAAAGAGAUGACAGACAUGCUUUGAGAGAAAAGCCGUAUUUGGUGCUGCUUUUGUCCACUAAAAUUUGGAUUGUCCAUUGUUUGAUUGAACGGUUCAGAUUUAGUAUAAGAAUAAAAGAAAAUGAUAAAUUAUAUAUUUAAAUAUAAAAAUAAGUAAAUAAUUAGAAUUUUUGAGACUUACCCGACUAGAAAUAAUUUAAAGGAGUAGAUCAAUUUGUGUGGAAUGGCAAAGCGUUGUCAAAUUUGACACUUCAAAUCAAAUUUGACUUAGGAACUCAAGCAAAGUUGGCCAGCAGACUCUUGGAUUUUUUUACUUGGUGACAUGAAUUUAACAGAUCCUAAACAGAGAUGAUCAAUGGAGGUUUGAGAAGAUAAUAUUCAUACAACUUGGAGCAUAGAUUUUAAAGCCAAACAAACAAAAGUUAGGAGCUAAACUGCAUGAUGGAUGAGCACAAAGUCAUAACUUAAUCGCAUGUGUUCGUAACCCGUAAGUGAAACACGAUGGACUGUGAACGGACAUGAGUGAAAUGACUGAUUCAAGGUGUCUUAGCGAUUAAAAAACUGAAUUACGAGUAUCCCAGGUAAGAAAGCAAGACACCUGUGAUCACUGACUUUAGCGAAAUUGAUUUCUUAGAAAAUAGUAAUGACAGUUGAACAUUAAAAAGAGAAUUUACACUCUCUGAGAAAUUUAAACACGAUGUAUCAUCCUAUGAGUUGAAAAGAAAUGGGUGAGACACUUCUCUUGUGCAAAUUCCAAAAUCGAGGCUCAGGCAAUCUUUCGGAAGUUAAGACAUCCAACUUGUUUAUCUUAGCUCUAGAGCUCAAACUAGACUAAUUAUUUAAGCUAAUUACUUAUACUAAAAGAAAACAAAUUGGGACAUGCUUAGCCAGAGAAAAAGAUAUUCAAACUAGUUAAAAAAUAACUAUCUUUACAUUGAGUUGUCAAGCCUCGCUAAUCAUUCUUAAUGCCCAAGUUAACAAAAAAAAAAGAAAUACUUUCAGAAGUUUAAGGCUUGUAUAACCCGUUCUUAUGCUAAGUUAUAAGUUCAAAAUCACAUUUAAGUAAACGUCUAUCCUAAAUAAAUGACAACAAGAUGUCAUGUUCUACAAUUCCGCUACAGAUAGUUUGGUAAAGCUUUGACCCUUAAAAAAAUGAGUCAGAUUGUCACUUCAGCAUCGCCUUAACAGGUUUCAAAAUCACAGAAAAAUGAUAGCUCAUGGAUACCAAUAUGAUUCUGUGCAUAACACAGAAGGAAAAGUGUACGUCUAGAUUUUAACACCUACAUUUACUUGAAAAUAUGUCAACAUGUUGUGUUAUCCUAUAUUUUUUGGAAACUAUUUUCAUGCCUAAUUUAAUGGCUACGGGGGUCUUGUAACCUCACAGACGAGUCCAGGAAAAAAAAUUAAGAAACCAUUACCAUGUCAAAAAACCAACGUCACACUAAAAUUUAAACAAUCAGUUACUCUACAAAUAUGCCUCAGUUUAAUCUAAACCAAACUACCAAAAAGCUAUUUUUGCUUCAAGUUGUUGUUUGUAACUAGUCAAACAAAAGACUAAGAGGGGACUUAGACAAACAACCUGCGCAUUGGGGAACUUAGACAAAGAUGUACAAGGAUGGGUCCAAACACUAGUGCAUGUGGCAAGCAGGUUAACAGAGUCAAGAACAUACUAACACCAACAUAAUUUUAGGGUGCGGUAAUGGACAAACAAGAUUCCAAUUUCGGUCCAAUUUAACGGUUGCGACUUAUGCCAGCCACUUAGUACUUAGAGAACCUUUUCGGAAAUGACAUAUAUCACACAUCACUGAUGCAAGAUAAUCAUAUUCAGAAAGAAACGAGAUGAGAAUAACACUUAAAAACUAGAAAUUUGCGAGAGAAAAGAAAAAAAAGGAACUUUAGAUCCAAGGUUAGUCCUUCAUAUUCAAGAAUACUUUACUUUUUUGAACUCAUAUAUAAUCACACAUAUCACACAGAACAUCCCCACAUGAUAAUGCAUUCAAACAGAGAUGGGUACUUUCACAUGCUCUUAAUCCUCAAAAAGAGAAGUAGUAAUGCGUCAAACAUAUUGAAAACAAAUAUUUGACAAGCGAUAUGAAUUCAGUCCUUCAGACAGUAGCAUUGAAAAGAAAAAGAAAACAGAAAUGAAGAAGACAGGAGGAAUUUAGAAGCAAAGCAACCAUAUAUUGACACAAAGGACAAUCAAGGCUAAACCAUGUUCUUGACCACGAAUUGCCAGAACUUGAUUUGUUGGAAAGCAGAUAGCAAUAUCAAUAUAGCUUGAAGCUAUAAAUCGCGUAUCACAGAACAAAAAUAGAUAGAUGAAAGAAAAAAAACUAGAUAAGGGGAUGGAUUUUACGCUCUACACUUCUAGACCAAACAUAACCUCUCCUAUUAUUAACUCUAAUCCACAUAUUAUCACACAUCUAAAGACAAACAACCUUACGCAACGACCAACUAGACUAAAUCAGAAGGCAAAAAAAAGAAUAGAUUUUUAUUUCAGUUUUUCAUGUCCAAUACCAUCAAUUAACAUCCCGAAUAAUUACUUGGUAUAUAAAUGGUUCAUAUUCUCAUUCACAGCCUACCAAAAUAAAAUAGAUUACUCCUAUCGAGACUUCAUAUUUAAGAUAUUCAGGCUAAAUAAUGAAAUAAGAUAUUUCAUCACAUAUUACAUGAUGGAUAAAAAUCAGAUAACUAGAGAAUGAAUCUUAAUUUAUACUAGUUAUUAAUAACAUGAGCAGCACACGUCAAACACAACGAACAGAGCACCUUUUAUUCUCAUCAAAUGGACAUGAAUUCUUUGCCCACCGCGAUGCAACACCCUAAACUAUUUUACUUACUGAUUUUAGUAAAACAAUAGCAGGAUACAUUAAGGCAAAGUUUAAGCUAGCGACAAAGUUACUUUAAGCAAUCAUAUAUACAAUGGACAACAAAUCUUCUCUUCUUGACUCCCAAGACUAAUCAAAAACCAAUUCUGUAAGGGAUCAUAGCAGCCCCUCCAUAUUGUGAUCAAAUGGGACUUUUUUUUACUGUAAUAUAUCAAUAGCUAAUAAACAGAUAAUGGUCCAAAUGAUUGAGAAUCCAAACAGUGAAGAAACAUGAAGUUAUAACUCUAUGUUGACCGCUUUUGCAUUCUUUUAAUCUUAUUUAGAUACACAAACCCACCUAUCAUCACUAAUCCUUUACCGUAAAUCGACAAAGGGAUGACUGAUAAUUCAAACUACGCAGUCACAUUAUUGUAUAUCUCGAACAGAUAGGUACUAAUCUAUGUGAGAUCAUAUCUUUAAUGGAAGAGGGGAAGAGAAUCAUUUAGUGACUGAUGUUCAUAUGGAUAUUUUCAUUACUAUCGUGAAAGGUAUUACGAGUUGCUCAUAAGUCGAAUUAUAUUCUACACACAUAAAAGUUCAUAUACUAUCCCAAAACCACACGAAAACAGUGAAGGGCAGCCCGGUGCACUAAAGCUACCAUUAUGCGCGGUGUCCGGGGAAGGUCCCCACCACAAGGGUGUAUCGUACGCAGUCUUACCUUGCAUUUCUGCCAGGGGCUGUUUCCAAGGCUUGAACCCAUGACGAACAACCAAGCAUUCCUGAAAUUUUAAGUCUUGUAGGACCCUUCUCAAGCUAAAUUAAUUGCUGGCAAUACGCAAGUCGAGCAUGUACAUAUUUAAGUCACCAUUACCAAAUCAAAACAGUUAAACCGACAUCGAAAUAACCCCUAAAAUAGUUCACGAAACAUGUAUCAAAAACUUACUGAUUUAAGGAGUUUAUUCUGGGAUGAUUCAAAUUCACAGUUGGCUUAUAAGCAUACCAUCAACUGUACAGGAUACCGAAUGGUGCAAUAAAUAUAGCUUUGAAUUCACCUUUGCAGGCAAUGAAACAAAACACCCAAUUUAUUAAAAAUUUUACAGAUUCAUUCAAGCAAGAUCGCAAACUAAAAAUGUGAACAAACGACCAGCCACUGCACUGUCUCCACUUCAUGAUCAUAUCUAGAAUUAACCCAACAAACUUGAAUGAUAAAUAAAUAGCAAAAAUUAAAUAUAAUACAAUUAUACGGGAUGGAAUUUACUCUUGCAGGUGUUCACAAGACCACCUCCGACUCGCAUCAAAACGUAAAAGAAAAUCUAAACAAUAGGGAUGGCAAACACCUAUACGCACAUAUUCAUAGAAAAACAUAUUCACUCACGAAACAAAUUUCGAAAAUCAAAAUUAUAUUUUAUCCAUAAAACUAACAAUAAUAACAAAAUCACCGACUAGAAAUCAAGGUGAAUGUCAUGUUCAUAGAAUCAAAAUAGAUGAGGAAAAGAAAACAAAAUGAAAUGAAGGAUGCUGAUUCGCACCUUUUUCCGGGUAGCGAAAUUGGAGCUACGACGACAAAGGUUUUUCAACGGCAAAUUCAACUCCGAGGAUUCCGAACGUCUGCACUCUAAUUUGCUGUAUUUUUCACUCAUUUUUUACACUAAUUUCACUCUUUCGUUAAUUUUCUUCCCUUGCCCCAAAGGAAUGGAUGAAACCCUCCUUUAUAGGCAUAUUUUGGAGUGUACAAGCUUCUCAAAAGGCUCUAAAUUGGACUCAAACUUGAAAUUCAAAUUGUUGAUGGGACAAUCCAGAGCUUAAACAGAUACGGUGAGGGGGGGAAAGAUUACCUCUUUCAAAUUGAUUUAAAGUAGAAAAUCGGGUGGAAAAACCUUAUCCUCCUAGGGUGUAGAUUUUCUCCUCUCCACCAAGCUAACAGUGGAGAGGAUGAGACUUCUGCGACCUGAAGAGUCAAAUAAAAUAGGAGAAGGGCGAGAUUUAUGCUGACAACCCCAUUUCCCGCUGAACCAUUUUGAAAAUUCAAUAAAUUUGAGGUGAGGGGGAUGGCUGCACAGGGGAGUGGUUGGAGUUUGUCGUAGGGGCUGUGUAGUGGUGUUGAAGAUGAAGAUGAUAAAAUGAAAGAGAUGACAGACAUGCUUUGAGAGAAAAGCCGUAUUUGGUGCUGCUUUUGUCCACUAAAAUUUG
rnacentral:lncRNA from 1 species